rnacentral:rRNA from 1 species
GAUGAAUGCUAGCCGUUGGGGUGCAUGCACCUCAGUGGCGCCGCUAACGCAUUAAGCAUUCCGCCUGGGGAGUACGGUCGCAAGAUUAAAACUCAAAGGAAUUGACGGGGGCCCGCACAAGCGGUGGAGCAUGUGGUUUAAUUCGACGCAACGCGCAGAACCUUACCAUCCCUUGACAUGGCAUGUUACCCUGAGAGAUCAGGCGUCCUCUUCGGAGGCGUGCACACAGGUGCUGCAUGGCUGUCGUCAG